UGAGCAUCUUGCAGUGUUGUGUGAGAUAAAAAGUCCCAUGGGUUUACAACAGUGAUCUGCACUUGUAAGUAGGCUGCUACACUGUAGGGCAAGAGCAGCUUGACCUGAAGAUACUCUGUAUGUGUUUGAGUGAGAUCAAUCAAGCUGCAUUCAGGCCUUGUGUGAAGUCCAGCACCUCUCAUGGGUGAGUCCUCCAGGCCUGUGCCUUCCACGUGGGGAACAGCUGAAGGAAGAGAUUGCCCAUGCAGUACUAAUUCAAGAAGAGGAAUGAAAGAUCAAAAUCCUGAAGACACCUGGCAAAGCCAAGGAACUCAAACCAGUUAUCCAGGAAAAGUACCUUGCCAGUGUGCUGCAAGAUGAGCAUGAAAUCUGGCAGCAGUGCUGAGAAGGGGACCCAAAGGCCAUUGACAAUAUUCCUAGUCAAGAAAAGCAGAUCUACUUCACAAAACCCAGUCUGAUGGAAGCUAAAGAAGCUAAAGGCAAUGGAGCAAAAAGAUGACCCUUUUGGACAGAGAGAUUAGGUGAACUCUUGUCCCUACUGUACACAGGACUGUCCUGGUUUUGGCUGAGAUAGAGUUUGUUUUCUUCUUACUAGCUGGUGCAGUGCCGUGGUUUGGAUUUAGUAUGAGAACAAUGCCGAUAACACGCUGAUGUUUGAGUUGAUGCUAAGCAGUGCUGGCCCUGAGUCAAGGGCUCUUCAGUCUCUCGGGCUCUGCCAGGUAGGAGGUGCACAAGAAGCCGGGAGGGAGCAGAGCCAGGACAGCUGACCCCAACUAGCCAAAGGGAUAUUCCAUACCAUAAAACGUCAUGUUCGGUAUAUAAACUGGGGGGAGCUGGCCAGGAGCCACUGAUCACUGCUCGAGGACUGGCUGGGCAUCGGGCAGUGGGUGGUGAGCAGUUGAAUUGUGCAUCACUUGGAGUUUUUUUCCCUCGAGUUUUAUUCCUCUCUCUCACUAUCCUCUUUGUUACAAUUAUUAUUGUUGUUGUUAUUAUUAUUUUUACUUUAUUUCAAUUAUUAAACUCUUCUUAUCUCAACCCACGGGUUUUACAUUUUUCUGAUCCUUGGAUUGACUGAGCGGCUGCCUGGUACUUAGUUGUUGGCUGAGGUUAAACCACAACAAUGACCUCAUGCUUAUUCUUUCUUCUCCAGCUUCAUUCUUCUCACUUUUGGCACAUCCACAGUAUGAAGUCUGCCCAGAUUUAAAAUUCUUUUUUAUUUCCAAAAGGUUGUAUAAUUUAUACGUUCUACACUGACUAGCAGAGCUCCCUCAGCUAGAGGGGAGUGGUAAAAUAAGGAUACGCUCUCAGCAAAUACUCAUUGCUCUAAGGUGAGGUUACUUGUCCAAGUAAGGAGUUGAGGGGACCUGAAGCUGCUUGCUGCUCUAACUGUAGUGGAAAAUUUUGGUGUCUUACUGAAAUGGCUGUGAGAAUUAUUAAGGCAUGUUCAAAGUUCUGCUGUAUCUGUUAAGCAGUGUCCUAGGUAGCUGCACAUCUGAAUUAUUUUGACUUUAAUUCUCCACAGUCCUGCCUACACGCUUAAUUUGGUGCAUUGGAAGUAAGUGCUAAUGAUACCAUGUGAGAAGUCUUUGUAGGAAUGGCAGCUGAACACUGCAGCUUAAUGGAGUACCCAAAAUUAAUUUAAUUAUUAUUUUUCUGUAGAGAGGAGGCAUUGCAGCAAGCAGAAUUUUACAGAUAACCUCCAGCUUCCUGCAGAGGCGCUUUUUCAAGGGUUCUCAUCUGAAGGUGGCAAUAGGCUUUGCCCUGCGACCAACCGUCAGGAAAAGGGGAGAGGGCAGCGCUUGGGAUACGGGCCCCCAUCCGUCCGUCUCUGCCCAGGCAGCAGGGAACCAGCGAGUUUGUGGUACGGGGCUGCGACUGUGUCAAUGAGAGCAGCUGUGAAGUUUGUGUUCCUCUGUCACCUACCUCUGCAGGAGAUGCAGGGGGUGCCCAGCUGUGGAUGUCCCUCUGUGGUACAGAAGAGCAUGAAGAAAGUCACCCAAAAAAGGCUGCGGUACCGGGGUGCUAAUAAACCCCUGUGAUCCGGGAGGCAGAAAGCGAAGGAGUUUUAUGAGAAGGGAAGAGCGGGGCCGGGUGGGGGUGGGGGUGGGGGGAAGUCAGUGGAGCCCAACAGUUUGUCAGGGAAGAGAGAACUUUUUAAUUGACUGUCAAACCAUAACCUUGGAAACCUAAGGAAAAGAGGCAUCAGCAUGUCUGUCAGCACAGCUAGGCAUCAAUCUUCCCUGGCGAGACAGCAACACGAUUACUUCUGGGGUAAUGCCAACAACUUGGAAGUGCUGGAAGUUGAUCUGGCCUGUAAGGAAGGAAGGGGGAAGGUGGGAUGCACCUCCUCCCUUCAUUCCUUCAAACUGUUCCAUUUAAAUAGAUCAGUUACUGCUAUUUUUUAAUUAGGAGGGAUUAAAACCUGUAUCUCCAUUUUGAAACAUUUAUUUUCACUUUGUUAUGGCCUAUUCAGAAAUAAGGUCAAACCAGGGAGAAAUAUAAUCUUAAUAAUUUUCUUUCCAUAUUUCCUACUGCUUUUAUUAUUUCAUUUGUCUUAUCCUAAGAUACCUUAGCAAAACUGCUAUGGAGUGGCUGAUAGGAAAUACUUCUAAAUAGCUUUAAUUUUAACAGAAAAAUAUCUUAAAUUAUCAGGACAGUUUUACUUAAGAACAAUUUUUUAUCUGGAAAAAGGUUUGGAACCUGAUCUUACUGGGGAAGAAAAUAUCUCCUCUUCCUUUUCAAAACACUUUCCUAACUGUUUGGUGGUCUUUGGGACCAGUCAGCAGUCCUGCACAUCCCAUGGUGGGGGCUCAUCUCCUAACUAACAUCCAGAGCUACCGAUGGAGCGCCUGAGGUGGUCAUCUGUCUCACUUCACGUGGAGAUGAUGUGUCACAGGAGCCUUCCUACGAGCCUGCUCUGUGGAGUCGUGGACUUUGUCCAGGAUUUCUUGCCCAUGGGAAUGUGUGUCCAGAACAAGAUGUUGCUUCCCGGAGAGAGCACUAAGCAUCCCUUCUCACCUGCUUCUCCGGUCAGCUGCAUCUCUUUGUGGUUGGUCUAGCAAACCCAGCAUGUCCCACAUGUGCUGCACUCUGAGAGGCACAUCUUCAGGAGCUCCAGGUAAAAUGCCAACACUUGAGAGCUCGUCCGAUGUGUCGCUCAUGCUACGCUUCCAGCUGCGAACUCAAACACUCCACUGGGUGGUAAAUGCAGGUCAGAACUCACAAGCAAGGGGCAGUCCAGAGGCACUCUGCCCUGCCUCAUUCUGUGACAAAGGUUAUUAGCAGAGCUGUGUAAAUAGUUGAUUAUUAUUUUUGCUGCUGGGUGGCUGAACUGCCCAGAGUUACAAACACUGAUAUUUUUUUCCGUUCUUGCUGAAAUGAAAACACUCAAAUAUUAACUUUGCAUCAAAUUAAGUAUUCCUAGUACCAGUGCCAGUAGUUUUGGUUGAUCCAAAACUGUUGGGUUUAGCUUUCUUUUUCGUGACCCCUACUUGUUUUGCUCCAGGUAAACUACAGCAGUUCUUUUCAAAAGGAAAACACUGAGCUGUUGAAAAAUUGUGGACAGGCUGGAUUAUAGAUGUAAUGUAUAAUGACUGUGUGACCUGAUGAGAUUUCUACUGUGGUCAUUCCGCCUAGAAAAAAGAGAAGACUGUUACUAGAAACUAGUGAUGAGCGUGGUCUCUGCUUUCUUCACUUUGGUUCUGAAAUCUGUUCUUGGCCUUGGAGCAUCUGCAUUUUCCCGUGUAAUGGCAAGGGCCAUGGGAAUAAGGCGCAGGUUAUAAAUAAGGUUAUGUCAAGGCACUGUGAUUUAUGAUAUAAUAUUGCAGUUAUGUCUCAACUUCCUUGCACAACUUUAUCCUAAUGCCAUCUACUGUUAUCUAGGAGGAGAAAAGGAACCUUAACUCACAGCUCAAUUUAUGUUAAUCUCAUUUCCUUUUUACCUGCCUGGAUCAAACUUUUGCUAGUUGUUUUGCAGAAGUUUAGGGGAUGCAAUCAACAAUACCAUGCCCUAUUGUACAGCACAUUUCAAACAAUUCAUAUGAUAUUUUCUGAAUUAGAAAUAACUAGAAGCGUAAAUGAUCAAAGUGGUUUGUCAAAGGGCAAGCAUCUGUGCUGACUGAAAAGCUUUGAAGGCACCAGCCCAUUAACACCCAUUAAAUGGCUGCUAUAUGGGACCGUGCUAGGGAGCAGGCUUAGCGGGUGUUCUCCAGACUUGAGGCAUGUUAAUUUUCUCCCUGAAGUGCUGACAAUCAGUUUAAAAGCCCUUUGGUCUAUCUUACCUCCUUUAUCCCCACCUGUUCUGCUCUUGGAAGCACAGCAACUUGGCUGGAGGCUCCUACGUGCACAGGUAUCCUGUCCCAAGAGGGGGUGCGAGCAUGUAAAGGGGUGCGUGAGCACCUGCUGUGUGGGAUGGCCCUGAGACUCUCUUUCAUGGGGUCUAAUAGGCAGUUUCUGAUUAUUCAAGCACAUCUUCAGUUGCCUUCCCAGUUGCUGAUGGAAAGAUGAGGUGAAUUCUUGGAGGCAGCCACCAUCAGUGACAGAGGGAUUUAACAGAAGACGCCAGACAGACCUCUGGGUCUUGGCCUUGCGUUGUUUGCUGUUCAUCCACAGACCAAGUAUGAAUUGAUAGAGGCUCAAAAGGUUAUCUCCAGCCAGUGUGUGUGUAGAUGGGUACAUUUAAGGUGAUUUAUGAGGAGCAUGGAAUGAUAUUGCACCAAGAGAGUGAUUUUGCAAAUGAUUCCAGGCUUGUAAAAGAUCUGGGAGCAAUGCGUGAGCAUACCUUUCAUCCAUGUGUGGCCCUUCAGGAUGAAAACUUUGGGGUUUUUUUAUUAUUAUUAUUUAUUCAGAGGACACACAGUGCUUCAUUUGGUACAUAGAUCUCAGCAUGGACUACUGUAGCACCUGGGGGUGGGAGGGCUGGAACCAAGCAGGCAGAGAGGAGCAGGAGGAGGAUAGAGGAUAGCGCUGCUGGGCAUGCAGGCUGGCUCACUGCAGCUCACAGGAGAAGUAUGUUUGGAGAGUCUCCUAGUAGCCUUGUUACUUGCGCAGCUCCUCUUUCCCACUGUUUUAUUUUUAGCACUUGAUAGAAAUUUAAUUGGAAACUGUAUGUGGGUUUUAAAGGGUUAGGAAAAGUGACUCAUUUGACGUGUCCAGGAGAAAACCACAUCUUACGAAUUUCCACAAAGGCUGGUGUGAAGAUGCCAAAUGGGGAGUAUCACUGUCUAAUCCGUAAACUGUAGACACAAUGAUCAAGCUGCUGAGGCUAAAGUCUGCUGAAGUUAGGAGAAAACUAAUCUCCUAAACUUGGGUGUAUAUUGCCCCAUGGCAAUGUUUCCAUUAAAAUAAUUUACAUAUGAAAUGAAGACUUUUUCUUCACUUUAUUCAAUAGUCUUAACUGAAUUUUCCCCAAUCUGUGCAAGGCUUGCCCUUGCAACACCUCCUGGACUGAGCUACAGCAUUUCUAUAACCCCAUUUUACCAUGGGGGAGUCUGCAGGGCUCAUCUGUGAACACGUUCCGCUACAGAGGAGACGUGAGCCUUGGUGUUCCAAACCAAGGCUAGUCCCUUAACCCUGGACCAGUCUCCCCGCCUUUACGUUGAUUUAUGUGUAUGAUGAUUUAUUUCCCUUCAUCAUAGUGUCUACCAUAAGUCAUGUAGACACAUUCUGCAUUAACAGCAUUAACAUGCAGAAUAUAUGGGUGCUGAUAAUCCAGGUUUAAAUGAACAUUUCCACAAAACAAGGUGCAUUGCAUGGAUGCAAACAACUAUUUUCAUGCCAUAUGAGGAUGUUGAUUUCAGAUCCACCCUCCAACUGAAAAUGUAGAUCCCUUUUUUAGUAGUCAUGCUGGAGAGAGACUGUAUCCAGCUUUUUAAGGAAAAGUGGGCUUUGUAGCCUUUGGGGCUAAAGGAUGUAGUUAUAAAAGGAGGUUCCUUGUAGUAAAGCUAAGAAGUCCGCUGGUAAAUUCAGUGGAGCAAGGCAGGAUGCUUCGGUUUGAAGGUAAAAGUCAAAGGUACAGUCCACUGCUGAAGCCCAGUUGUGUACUUCUGUCCACAGCUUUAGUCAUGCUCACUCAGAUGAUUGUAAAUUAAUUACUUUUGGUAUACACCUCAGCUGCUAACAGGUUCAGCCAGAAAAUGUCUGAUGCAGAAACCAAUAGGAAAACAGAGCUUUAGCCUGAAAGCUUUAGGUACAUUAACCCAUUUUUAUUCUAUUUGCUCAGCUUCUUCGCCACUCUGCAUGAAAAAAUCCUACUAGCCCUUCAAAUUUAAGCAAAUUAAGGGCACACACUGAACUACUUGUUAUUAAUAUCUCAGUGCUAUUUUCUAAUUCCCCAUUCAUGCUUGAAAUGGAUUAAAACUGGUAAUCUUUGACAAGGCAGCAAAAUUUGAUGCUAAUUUAUUGAUGUGCUCUUUUAAGAAACUUUGGGUUUCUUGUCUAUAAAUUAAAUUUAAAGAGAGCAUUCAAGGUCCUUCCCAAUUUAGAGAGCAGAGAGCAGCGAUAUGCGUGCUGAAACAUCGCAUGCCCUUGAGCCUGCUAUAUGGUAUGGCUGAGGAGGGGUUGCCUUGUUUUCCUAAAGGGAUGUGUUUGUGCUUUGAUAGCUGUCUCUCUCAAGGUUGGCCAUGCCGAUGGCUUCUCCAUCUCACAUCACUUGAAACGUCUUGGUUCACCUUGAAGAGUGCUCUGAGCCCUUCUUUUCCACUGAGCUUUUUGCUCCUGUCCUGAGCUUAGGCAUUGCUCCUUGGGCAUUGCUCAGUACCAUGGGUGGUUUUUAAUGAGCUAUCCCAGAUGUGGGAUGCUAGUGCUGAGCCUGGGAGAGGCUCCUGUUGCUCUGCAGGGAGUUAUUUUAGAGUCCUUGCACAUUUUUCAUUAUCUUGGAGCCUUAUUUCAAUCUUAGCCCUGUAUGUUUACAUUAGUAACACGCUCCUUUACCAAAGGAAGUUUAUUAUUUUCAGAAUAUUGCAAUUACGUGACAAUUGUUGCUUUCCUUGGUGGUUGUUUUUCUUGCAGGAGUAAAUGCUGGGGAAGCUUAGAAAAAGCCUGCUGUAGGCACCUGUGUUCUGUGCCUGCCUUGCACUGAGCACAGCUGCCCUUUCCUCUAACACCACCACACAGCUGCCUUUACAGCUCUGGGAGAGACAACAGGAAUAGCCUGAGCAUCCCUGCCAGACUGCUGGGCCACACCGGCUGCUGGGGUGGGCGGCCACGGGAGGAGGCAGCUCGCCAGUGCUUGGGAACCAAGUCAUUUGAAAUCCAGGAAAAGCAGGGAGCUAACAACAUCAUAUUGGCCGUGGCUAAUACUAUAGUGAACCCUGCAUGGGCACUGAGGCAUUAACAUCAGGUUCCUUUGGGUGGUUUGGUUUCUUGGCCUACCAAUGUUUUUGAGGGUUUGACAUUUCUGCCUUGCGUUAGGUCAAAAACUUGGAAUUUUUAAAGUGAUCUCAUCCCAACACUGCCUCCCCCAUCCUGUCUGUUAUCCCAGAUAUUUUUGUUUCGGAAAUGCCCAAACAAAAUGUUUUGUCAGUUUUAAAAGCACUUCAUAAUUUGACAAAUUAAUCAAAAUAAAAUUUUCCCUGAAGAAUAUUAUUUAAAUGGCAAUUAUCACCUCAGACACUUCUGGGAAACCGACAGCAAGCUUUAUCAAAAUCUAAAUGACUUUACAAUUAAAAAAGGCAAUUGCUAUUGAACCCCAACAAAACUUUCUGAUGAACUGACUGCAGUAACAAUAUUCUUGCCAGCUCUGAAAAAUGUCCUUUAUUUAAGACAACCUGCAAAUUCCAGACAUCGUGAUAGGAAGGUAACUGUCUUGAUGAAGGUGUAUUUUUAAAACCAAGAGAGGUGCAGGUGGAAAGGGACUGGCAUAGCGCAUCAGAAGAGGAUGCAGCCAACACUGCCUCUCUCCAGCCAGCGCAGGGGGUGCUAAAGCAGUGCAAGUUUAAUGUAUGCAUUAAUAUAAGUAGGAAACGGGGCAGGUCUCCUUCUGAGUUCUUAAAGGUCCCGAGUUUUUCCUUAGGUAUUUGCAGCGAAGCAUUGAUUUUCACAAAUCAGCUGCAGCCCUGGCACCCUGCUCCCCCUGUCCUUUUGCCUCCCAGGGCUCCUUCCUGGUCCUCGCGGUGACAGCCAGGCUGGCUCUCACUCACCAGCUCUGCUCUGGAUGCUGCUGCCUGGACUCAUCUCUGAGCUCAUUACAUCAGGUAUUUUCUUUAUGUUUUUGCACAAAAAGCAGCGUUCCUCCUGCUGGAUCCUCUUUGCUGGGUUGGGAUUAUCAGCACGCUUUGGGAAAAAAUAUGCUUAAGUUUAUCUUUCCUUCUGCCUGUCCGUAAGUACUCAUGGAGUAAAGAGAAUGCACAUACGUGCCUGUGAACACAUACUCCCAAGCUCGUGUUUCUGUCUCCCUAUCGUGAUUUCUACAGCACUGCUGUGAAGAACUUCUCUGCCUGGCUUCCUUAAAUGGUUACCAAUUAGCCCAGUAAAUUUUUGGAAAUUCAGGGGAGUGUGAAACUUGCAAUACUCAAACGCUGAGGCUGGGUUGGGGUUGGUAGCUGGUGAGAGGAGUGAUUGCCCAGGGCUCUUCUGAUGGUACAUCUCGGGUUUUAUGGGAAUCCCUCGCAGAGAUUUUCCAUCCUGAGACCAAACACGUUCCCACCUGUAUCAGGUACAGUGUUAGCAUAGCUGGGUUUCCUGAAAUGCUUUGUCCUCUUAGCAGGCAACAGCUUUUAAACAAAAAAAAGCAGAUGGUGUCUCUGAGCCUGGAUAUCACAAGGGUGGGAGUGAGCAUUGCGAGGUGAUCUCAAAGCAGGAUCCUCAGCCUGGGAAGUUAUAUGCACACUGAAUUUUCUCAAUAUAGUGUUUGCUUCGCUGCUAAAAAAGCUGCGUGAUGGAAAGACGAUGGGACUAGAUCUGCCUGGCAUUCGAAUCUGGUUUGCACAGCAGGCAGGGCUGGUUCCCAUUUGGCACUGCUGAAAAUUCGCUGAGAAAAGGCCAGUGGCUAAGACACGUAAUGUUAAUUACAGAUAAUGUCGACUGAAAUACCUGGAGGAGACAGGCAGUAGCUGCAGUCUGUAGAAUCCAAAGGGACCUGUCUGAGUGGCAUUAAUUUUUAACGCUUUAAUCAGGAUAUAAUCCCUCUACAAAGUCUUAAGUGGAGUAGAAGUCUGUUUAAUUUUUUUAAUAUAACCUGAAGGAGAAAGCAAUGACUUCAGCAAUCUCUAGCGAUGACAAAGUUCUUAAUUGGACAACAAGAAAAACAAACCCCUCAUUUUUACCCAAGCCGUUUAAAAUUCAGCUGAAGCCAGACAGAGACCAGCAAUUCCAUUAUCUUUAUAAGCCAUUCAGUAAGAUUUAAAUCUCUUGCAUGCUCUUUUUUUUUUUUUUUUUUAAAUGAGAUUUCGUGCUGCCCAGAUAGACACUUCCCUGCUAAAGCUGAAGGGGUUUUGCCCAGGAAGAGGCAGGUUUCUCCUCUCCCCUGCUGCUGCCGUUUGCGCGGCCAGCUGUGGGGUGAGCCAUGGAAGAGGACCUGCACAGUGUGGGCAGGAGGGCGCAGUGUGGGCGGCAGAGGACUCGCUGCAUUCCCCUGCACCCCCAGGAGCUCUUCAUCCCACUCCGAAAAAACCCUUCCUUGCCAGAACGUAAUAGUGUGCUAAUAACCUUUCAAAACCCGGAGCUGUAUUCUACAGGUGUGCGAGGCAUAUGGCUUCUCCCCUAUUAGCAAUGCAAAUUUAAUCAACUGGAAUAAUAUUCAAACGGUUGGCUCAGCACGAGCCAACAACCAACAAGCAGUUGCCACUUUCCCCGCUUUUGACAAACAUAAGAAAGGACUUUGAUUAAAACUCCAGUUCUCCUUAAAAACAGAUAAUCCUUUGAAUGAAAGGAAGCAACCUCCUCUAGAAGAUCUGCUGCAUUUCCACCGUUACUUCCCAAGAAAACUACUUUUUAUGUCCAGAUCUCAGCAACAUCAGAAAAACCUGUUACUUUCCAGUUGAAAAGCAAUCCCUGUCGCUAAACGUGCUGUAAUUCAGCAAAGUGACAAAGUUCAGGAUGAUCUGCAUGUUUUCCCAUUUGGGAUUUUUAUUGCGUUUUAAUUUAAUUUCAUAGCACGAUGCUGUUUGUUGUUGCCUGGCUCUUGCUAAUAGCCUCAAUAUGCUGUGUGUCUGCUCUUCUGCCUGUCAAACAGCGCCAGGUCAGUGGGUUUAUAGACUUCACCGCAGAGCAGAAGUCUGGAGUGUUUUGCCACCCUCCUUGCUGCAGCAGCACAAUCUCGAUCAUCACGGGGGCAACUCCUGGGAGAGGGUCAGCGCAGGCACGUUUAACAGCAAGGGCACCGGAGGCAGCACUCACCCAGCCAGGACCCGACCCAGGGUGCUGUGCACACUUUGCUAGUUGGCAUAAGUACGUCUUUCUGGUGAUUUGAGGAAGAUGGUGGUGGUUGGAAUUUUGUUUGAAUCUUACGGGAAUAGUGAAAGAAAAGCAAGGACACAAUACAGAAAUGAGGGUCCAGGUGUCAAUUGCUCUCUGAAAAACCACAGGUUAAAACAUGCAGGGGGCUGUUUGGGGAUGGGCUAUAAAGCUGAGUGAUGCCCUGCAGACUUAAACAAGACAGAGUUGUUUUUCUCUGGGUGGUACAUCCUCAGACAGGGCCCCACAGAGAGACGUUGCUGUUGAGGCAGCCCCAGCUGAAGGAAAACUCUGCACCAGGCUCGGCCAGGGGUCAGGACUGGGGUCCCAUCACUGAAAACAUAUUUGUUGCACAGAGAUUCCAGCUGACCCCUUCCCAGCUUAACAGCAUCACACGCUGCUGGAAGGGCAUGACCUUGUCCCUCUGGGCAUUUUGGGGAGCUUUUCAGUGUUUCCAGGCUAGCACGAGCCCUCCUGCCACCCAGGGCACUGGCACUGACCGUGUGGUACUGAUGAAACUGAUCUUUUCGCUGCAGCAUAAAUACCGAUUUUUGAUCUGACUGACACCAGGUUUGACAUGACGGCACUUUGCUGGAGUUCAUUGGCACUGGUGAAGAGAAGAUCUGGUCUUGCAGCCUGCCUCCAGAAUAAGUGUAUCCACUACCUGCGGUAGGUAAAACUGCCUCUCUUUUUUAUCUGCCUAUAAAACACACAUGAUGCUGCACCCCGGGGCCACCUCCUCUUGUCAUCUGGGCAGCCAGAGGAAACUACAGUGCCAUCCCGUUGAGUAAUUGUGAGAGGGCUGCAAGACUCCACUUAAAAUCUCAGGUAAUUGCGGUCACUUUAUUUUUCGUUCACUUAGUGAAAGAAAAUGUGAAAUUACCAUAGCAGAUAAUUAUGGUAGUAAUUUCUUGUGUUCUUGUUCAUUAAGUGCUGAUUGAGAAUGGUUCACUAACAACUUUGCUGAGUUACUCCAAAUAUUAUCGUUUACGGGACUAGACACAGUCUUUUUAUUGAAAGCCCCUUUGUCUAAAAAAGCCCUGCAUGCCACAUCCUUUUAAAGGACCAUUUGAUCAUAAAAAAUAUCAAAGUCUGUCUGACUGUUGCAGAAACAUAGAAGCUGAGUUGCCUGAAGACGUAGAGGUAGAUCUUGUGGUGCAUGGUAAAGCAGGGCUGGGCUCAUUUUGUAGCCUUCCUGCUCCAGCACUGAGAUAACGGCACCUGUGUGCUGCCUUCCCAGGACUGGCCGGACACAGUGCCUUGUAGACAUCAGCGGUGGCUGGCAUUUGCCAGUGGGAUCUGAAGUUAUUAGGGACACAGAAGCACUGUGUGGAGAUGGGACAAACCUGGCAGCUGUGGUCCCAUGAGGGAAAUAAGAAUAUGGCCAGCCUAAGAAAAAUACAGAGCUAAAAUAUGAAUGCUGGACUUGAGCAGAUGAAGCCUGUCCCUGCCGGGAGCCGAGGGGUGGCAGGCAGGUCUCUGGGGUGCCCUCCUGGGGCUGUGCUGCACCCCACCGCCUCCUGGUGCUCUCCACAUCCCUGCCUUGUUUAGGAAUGGCAUCUCCCUGCCCUGAACCUUGUGGACGGGGUUUCUGACCCCACCUGAAGCCCUUUGAUUUAUGUAGGAGCUCGCUCUGCAGGCUGUUUGCAAAGUUGUCUGCUGCUGCUAAGUUAGUGCUGUAGCCAGCGUGGUUCUGGCCUCCAGCCACGUACUUGCAGUGUUUCCUGAGACACCGUCUGCUCCUUGCUUGACUGUUUGAGUGCUGCCUGUCAGCCCUCGGGUGCCCUUACCCUGCAACCUCACCCACAUGGCCUCUAGCCUAAUGCAGGUGCUUCACGGGAGGGCUGCGGGGCAUUGCCCGUACCACCACAGAGCCCGGCUGGGGGCUCUACGGGCAGUGUAGAGGAAUGAAGCUGGGUUAAUUAACAUUGAUAAUGUACAGCUGUGGGCUGGCUUCAGGGGCGGUGGGUUGGCUGACGUGGAUAAGGUGCAGCUGUGGCUGGUCUCUGCUAAGUAGUUAAAUAGCUCUGAGGGGUAUGGAAGAUUAGUGCUGGAGGAAGAGAGACCUGGGAGAAACAGAGGGAGGGGAGAAAGAGCACCCCAGAUGUAGGAGAGAUAAGGAGAGGCCCUGGGAGAAGUAGAGGGCCUGGAUGAGGAGAGGCUGGCUGGGAGAGGAGCCGGAGAAGAAAGACUCUGGACACAGCAGAGGCAAGAAGCAGGGUGGACUGGCCUGAAGAGGAUAAAGAAACAGCACAGACAGUAGAUGAACUUUUGAAACCUUGUGGGGGACUGGUGGCUGUGUCGGAACAAGGCACAAGAACUACUCAUUGAAGUUAACCUGGCAUGGGGUGGUAAAAGCCUUGUUGCAGCCGGCUAGUUUUUAUAGUGCUGUGACAGGGUUUAUAGUUUUUAUAGUGCUGUGGUACCUGCAGCCCUGGGGAUUUGGUGUCGGCUCUGCCACCCUCCUGGCUGGGUUGCGGGAAUGUGGGCAGCCAGGGCAUGUGGGAGGAGGCAGCGAAGCUGGAGGGCCAGGGGCAGACUUCCACCGCUGCAUAGGCAGUGGGACAGAAGGGGUGAGCAAUGGUCACAGCUCACGAGGGGGCUGAAACCUGUGGCCAGAGCAAAGCUGCAUCAAGAUGGAAGUAAACAUCAGUCCUCCCAGGAGGAAGCAAAGCCCCGGAGCUCCUGAUGCGUUGUCAUGCAGGACUGCAGGUAGCAGAAAUGUGGUGGUGAGUGCAGGCAAUGUUCCCACUGUGUGCCACAGGGUGCAGGCUUCACAGGCAUCUCUCACACAACUUUUGUUUUUGUUUUCCUGGAGAAAAGUACACUUCAACAUCUCUUCUUGCUGUGUCUCUUCUUACUCUUGCCCAGAUAGGGCAGUGUGAGUGCCUGAACAUUUGUUGUGAUCCUGGGGUUGUGGCUUGGUUUGGGUCUUGGGGUUUAAUAGAACUUGUUCAGCACUGACAAGCACUCAGGAAAGAGUCUUCGGGCAUUUUGUUUCCCUUGGUUGCUGAUUUUUGUUUACUUCAACCUCUUGAAAAGAAAAGCACUUCUUAUCUCUACACGGGAGGUGAAGCCAUCUCUUUAGCUGCAGCCUACUUAACAAAAAGGGUGUUUUUCUGAUGCCUGUGUUUUCCCCUGAGAAAACAUGAAACACAAUGGAAGGAGUUUAAGCAAAAAGCCAAAGUCCUUGGACUCCAAAGGCAUCAAAGCUGAGCUACUUUCCUUUGGAAAUAGUAUUUGGGCGGACUGUGAUUAUUCUUAGGCAUUCAUAAUGCCACCCAUCAGGCAGGUUUUAUCCUAGCUAAUUUUGUCUUCCAUUUCUUGAUGCUUUUGUGCCGCUUUUUUUUUUUUUUUUUUUUUUUUACUUUUGAUGCACUUAGCUAAACAAGCUCAAAUAUGGUCCCAGGAGAAAAUCCAGCUCCGGGAGGUGGUGCAGCUUGGGACCAAGCUGCGCAGGCAGCCCUCCCCAGGAGCCCAGUCUCCCCCCAUCCCAGCAGAGUGGCUUCUGCAUUGGUUGUGAGUGCCAGCAGAUCUGGGUGUCCCCUUGGUGCCACCACCCUGUGUGUCCAUUUUCCUCGGUGCUUGAAAUCCACCCCUAAAAGAGCUCUUGCAAUAAACCUUCUUCCAGACCUUGAAUGUCUGUAAAAACAAGUGAUUCCUGCUGUUCUCAACACCUUCUCAUUAGACUAGAUCAGGCCAGCACAAUAAGGUAGGUUAGUAUUUUAUCUUCUUUGUCUUUUAAUCAAAGCAAAUGGAGUCCUGGGAGUGAAAUACCCACACACGGGUAGCGUUGGCAUAUGCUCCAUUCGUUCUGAUCCGGGAAGGAAGCUUCUUGGAUGGAGACUGCUGCAGAUGGGUUUGCAGAAGGAAGGAGUAAAAGGUUAGCAGGGUCCCGCUGUUCCCCACGAAGCUCAUUAACUGCUGUCAGUCUGUCUGGUGGAUGCGGUCUGUGUGCGGCUUGCAGAAGUGGCGACGUUAGCUAAAUCUGUGUCCGAGUUCUGCAAACGCGACUGCAUGUCACAUUCCCAUCAUAAGCAGUGAUGAUGCGGCAUGAAAAACCACAACCCUGGUGUCUAAGAUAGCCAGAAUGGCUUAAGGGGAUUGACCCACCAAGGACCACACAGAACUGCAUGCUUUUAACAAAAUUCAAACAUCAUAGAUUUGUUCAGGUCAUGAGGGAAAACUAUCUGUAAGUCAGUCUUGAGCUGAGCUAUGCUUAGCCUGUCCCUGUGGGUGGCUCUGGGCAGGAGCAAGCAUCAAACGCUUCAAAAACACUUUGGGCAGGAGCAAGCACCAAAAACCUCCUGAUGUACUGCGAGGCCAGAGGGAGGGGGAUGUUCUGGGCUGGUGGAUGCUCUUGCACACAGCGCCCAGCGUAGCCUCACCCCUCCCAUCACCCGGGGUUUGGUGACCUAGAACAGGCAUGAAACACUGAGGAUUUGCUGUAGAGAUUGUGUUCACGAUGUCAGAUCUUGAAGUGUGUUUUUCUAUGGGUCUCACUCGUGCUAGGAGCAAGGCCCUCGCAUUUCAAAACCUGUUCUGUUCAACUGGCCUCUAAAUAUUUGUCAGGCAAAAUGUUUUCCAUUUUCCUACCUAAAUUACCAAAGUAUCUUUCCCUCUUACUGCUUCUUAUUAUUCCCUCUCCAUUUCUGCUACCUGUGCAAGCUGCUUAUUUGCAUAUAGUUACUUCAUUACACUUUUUCUUUUGUUUAGCUUGCUAGUUGUUAGUUUUGAGGUUUUUCAUUUACAUUUAAUUUUUAAUCUUGUAAAUUGGCUGUUGUCAGGAUAGCUGCAAGCCAAGAGAAAAUAGUGUGUUUCAGAAGAGAAAUAAUGAGAUCAGAAGUAAAAAAAAAGGUCCCAGUGAGACAAACAGUCGCAAAAAAAAUGAGGGGAAGAUUUUAUCUCUCCGAUUCAAGCCAAUCAGGAAUUUAUUCUACCAGAAACCUUGCUGGUAUCAAUGGGGUGAGUAUGGUGAGUGCAACCUGACCUACAAGUUGUAUUGUUUUGACUUCUUUGGCUCCCAGCAGCCUUUCUGAACAGUGCCGGUACCCUCUGUCAGCAUGCUCCAGGGAGUUGCAAGUCUCUGGAGAUACACCCUGUGACUGCAUCAUACUUACGCCUGUGCAGGUGAGUGAUAUCUCCGCCUGUACACAUUGGGUCUUUCUCAUUCCUCCUCUGUAAAUGGCAGGGUGCCCUUGUGAGGUUCCAUACCCCGCUGACAGCAACCAAUCUUGGAUUUGUCCAAUUCCCUUUCACCACCUCUUUGCAGAGAAAAUAAGCUAUUGCUGGCGCUUGGGUCAGUCGCUUGUUUUUUGAUGGUGUUUGAUCUGUGAAAUUCCCAAGAAGCCUAAAAAGCAGUGGGAGUGCAAAGCAAAACCAAACCUACUGGGAAAGAGCAACGCUCAGCUGAUGGGAAAAGAGAUGGGCUGCGUAACGUGCCAGUCUGACACCGCACCGCUCUGUUCUAGCGGCACGUCGCUGCAGGCUGCUGCAGACUGUCCCCCCGCUCCUUGGGGCUGUCUUGCCCCAGUGCCCUGGUGCUGAGUGUCCCAUCCACCCCAUCUUCCAUCACCUUUGUUCCUGCAACAGCAACGACAAAACAGUCCAAAUGUGUUACCGUCCAGGGCAGGCUGCAGCAUCUGUGCUUGAAGGGUGUUAGAGGGAGAGCUGAGGCUGGCAUCACCGGGGGGAGGUGAAGGAGCUGUGCUGUGCUUGAUGCUUUCCUGCUGCAUUUUUCUGCAGGAAAAACUGCAUUUGCCAAGUUCUGUGCGUGUGUGUAUGCUUCUGCAGAACUGCCAGAAGGUCUAAGCCUGAAAUUAAAAGUGGUAACAUUUAGUAAGGGACAAAUCAAACCUGCACAGGACUCCAAGCGUGACUGUUUACCCUCUCCAUAAGGAGGGAUGGCCAGUGCUCUGGCACCCGAUAAAGAUGUGGGCUCUGAGGCAGCCACUUUGGGGAGGUAUUUCCAUCUGGAUUCUUUCCUUUGUUCCCAUGAAACUCAGUGGAGGAUGGAUAUGGUCCCACCAGGUCCCUUCAAGAGAAGUCAGACUGGGCUAUGAGGUACUUGUCUCUCAGCUCAAAUACUGUGUGAUAAAGCAGAGAAGUAGGACAGCUCUGCUGGUCAGCUGCGGAGUUUGAUCCAGUGAGGGCACUGGUGAAAACAGGAUGGGAAGAGGAAGCUUUUAGGGAAGUUUGGUCUAUAGAUGAGAAUGCAGUGAGACUUUUAGCUCCAAACACAGGGAACUUCUGAUGACUAGAACAAUGAAAGGUGCAAAACCAGUCACUAGGAAGUAUCCGUGACUUUUCGUCAACCAGCCAUCUGUGCCAAAAGGAAGGGAAAAAAGGCAAACAAAAAAAAAAAAAAAGGUAUCACUGUUGCUGCUGGUGGAUGACACAGAUGCUAGAUUUAUUUAAAGCCUGGGGCUAACAGCUACACUGAAUGAUAUGUAGCUGAUUUGGGUGAUGUAUGAAUACAACCCAAGUUGGAAGAUUUCACAACAGCGUUUUCAAGGCGGAAAUUGUAAAGGAGUGCCCUUUACACGUCGCCAGCUAAGUGGUGUGUAUUUGCUGCUCAGAGCUACUGUGCCAGUUGGACAGCUGCCAGGCUUGUAAUGCUGCUUUAAAAGGGACCACUUGCCAUGCGGAGUUUUUUGCAUUUUCUGUUAUCCAAACAGACUCACUUGAAUGUUAAUUUGUUCCUGGCUGCCAAGGACCCAACUCUGCAAAAAGCUGAACGUGGCCGAGCGCCGUGCCUGCCGGAGGGGCUGCUCCCAUCCCAGCUCCGCGGGAUGCUGGCGGGCUGCAGGCAGGGAUCUGUCACGGGGAUAUAAAACCUCCAGCCGUUUCCUUCUUUCAAAGUGCAAAGCUGUGGCCUGGGCAAAAAAAAGGACAGCAGCUUUUCUCUCCUGUGGGGAGGGGACAGCUGAGGAGGGCAUGGGCGACUACUUGGGAAGGAAAAAUCCUCUUGAGGUUUUUGGAGCGGGGCUACUGCGAAGCACCCUGGUCCUCAGCCGAAGCCCACCAGGGUCAGCAGGGCGGCAUCGGGAGUGUGAGCUGGUCAACAUGGGUGACCCAGCCCCCGUGAGAUCAAAGCUAAAGCCACCAGGAAUGUUCCUGUGCCAUCAGCGUGCUGCUCCCACAGUGCCUGGGUGCCGGGUGGUUUAGAGGCAGGUCGGGGAGCCCUCAUGGUGGGGGUGACCCUGUUGUACCAGGGCUCUGCUGUGGGGCCCUCAGACCUUCUUGCCACCCCUCUGAGUUUUACCUUGUCCUUUCCCAGAUGGCAAAAUAGCAGCCAAUGGCCUUGGCCUGGCUUCCAACAGGACUGUUUGCAAUCUCCCUUCUAGUUCUUCCAAGUGUUUGCAGCCCCUUUUGAUGGACAUCUGUAGGUUUUUCUGUGUGCCUGUGGACAGAAGGGAAGCCACCAAGCCAGGGGAUGUUCUGAACCACCCAGAGGCUGGAGAUGAGAAAGGAGUAAAAUAGCGAUGGAGACUAAAGCAGAUGGGAGAGGGCAGCAAUGUGGAAGGUGUGACAGGAGGCAAAGUGUAUCUGCCCGGUGGGGUUAGGGCACAGACGGUGGGAUGCGGUGCAUCUGGUGUGUCCUGCCGGCACCUUUCUCUGGGCAAGGGCAGGAGCUGGUGAGGGGAUGCUGGGCUGUGGCAGUGGCCCCCCUGGCACUUGGUGCAAGGCGUUGGAGUGAUGGGGAUGCAUGGGAAAGACAUCCCCCCACCCGUGUCCGCUCAUGUGUGAGCCAUUGGAAAGCCUACAGGCAGAAGGCUAAUCUCAUUGUUGGUUGGUAUGUGUUUUACAAGGUGCUGGGAUCUGCACUGAAACUUCACUGCUUUGACUAAAAGGCACCCAAAUAGGUUCAAAUUUAACUGAAUUUUCCUCCUCCUGCUUAAUUUCUGUAUCAAUGUUUUUGGAUGCUUAAGGAAAAACGCAUUUUUGUGGUGUCUGUUUUUAGCCAAGGGAAAAAUGGGAGAUUGUUCAAAAUUUGAAUAAAUAUUUAAAGCACUGUUUCUAUUUAGAAACUGGCACUUUAUCAAGUUAAACAACCCAUUAAGCUCAUAAUCACACUCCAUCUUUUGGGGCACAAUGCCUUUUGCAUCUUUUGAAAUGAGUAUUUGUGUCAUCACUCAGCAUGCUCUGAGGUGAAAUUAAUCUUCCACCGUAUUGUUUCAUCUUACUACUGGACUGAAAUAGUAUUUUCAAUAUCUUUUUCAUUGUUUAUUUGCAUUUUUUUUUGACACAUGACUUAUGGAGGAAAUAUGAAAACAAGUCACAAAAUUGAGAUCCCUGAUAAGCUUCUAAACCUGCUUAAAUAUUCUGCCAUCAGCGUGCUUUGAGUAACUGCCUUUUUACCUCUAGCAGAUGCAGUCAAUGUCGUUUUGAGAGCUGCUAUGGACUUGAGGCCCUUUUCAUGUUGUGUGAUCAAAUACUUAAAGAUACAGUUUUUGCAAAACAGCGGUAGUCUGUUCUGGAGGAUGGAGCCCACAGAAAAUCCUAUGAAAGGCCAGAAGAAUUGAAUCAGACCUCUGUAAGAACCAGGGAUGUCAGAGCACAUCCCAACCCCAUGUUGACAGGGGAUAGCUGGCAGACAUGAUGCCUGUUGCAGUAGUGGCAUCCCAGGCGUGAGACCCCUGGGGUGCUGUGCCUUCCUGUGCCCAAGGGUGGUCUCUGUGUGGGGAGCAAGCACUCUCCCAUGUCCCACGAACCAGGCAAGGCUUGUCUCUGUGUCCGGCUGGGUCAUUGCCACAGUGCUUUGUUUAGUAGGUCAGGGUACACUUGUGUUAGAAGUGCUGUCGUCAUUCAGCAGCCUUACCACAUGCACGGUAUCAGUGAUUUGAGCAGAAUCCUUCUCCUCCCUAGUCGUACAUCAAGGGAAGUCUUCCUUUUUUAGUUACCUCUAAAAAUAAAUGAGGCGGGCUGCUGUUUCUUUGAAUGGCAUGUCUGCUUUCUAUGACAAAGCUGACUUGGGAAUACCCUGUGUUCAUAGACUGAGAGAUGCGGCAAUGUUUUAAAACCCUGCAUCUUUUUGCAAAUGUAAUCUUUUCCAUGGAUGACUACAAGGUAUUAAGAGACUUGCGAUGAAUGCUUGCAGGUUGAUCUUAUGGCACGUUACUACCGCUAUAAAGGAUAGUGACUACAGCAGCAAAGUCAUCGCUGCACUUUAUAUGUAGGAAGUGAUGUGGUUGUAUCAACAGAGCAAGUGACCAAGCAAAAUCUAUUAUUAUUUGUGGGCUGGAAGGCAGUUCGAUAGCUAGAUAUAAAAGAAAUGUAAGUUUAGAUCAUGUGCUUCACUCUGUGCCUUAUGCUUAGAAUUAGUGCCCAGCUUUUUCAAAGAUGUUUCCUGCCAUUGCUGACGGUGCAUUCACCACAAGGAGUCCAAACAGUCCUGGUGUUGUAAGUUAGAUCCUUUCUAUAGUCCAGAAGUCUGAGUGCCAUGUCUUCUCAAAAUGAACUUGUUGGAACUGUCAAGCUGUUCCCAUGCUGUCACCUGUCAAACAUUUCCCAUGCUGAUUUCUUCCCUUGUUGCAGCCAGGGGUUACAGAAAGCAGAACUGCAUCAGCCGAAACAGAGGUACCUGCUCUGCUGCAGCUCUACCCCCAGCUGAAGGUCUGCUCUCCAGCAGCGCCUUUACACGUCACAAACUUUUGUUUUCUUCUUGGGUUUCCUGUUCUUCUGUGCCAGUUCAUAUGAGAAAUCUGAUCAGCCUUCCCUCACUUGUUGUUACACGCAGCGUGAUUCAAGGACCCAUCGUUCUGGACCCUUCCACACAUCUGGAUGUGGUGCAAGGCUUGAUGGCUUCAGCAGCCCUGGGUUGCAUUCCAGCUUCUCAGCAUGAUGUCUGCUUGCAAGGGAAACUGCAACCAGGACACAUAACUGAUCGUUUCCUAAUCUACCCAGUUGUCCUCUGUAAAGUUACAGUUGUUUCUGCUGAGUUGAAAGCUCUGAAGGUGAUACCCUGAGAUGAAACUCCAGUGCUUUUGAAAGACAGCGUAUCUGAAUGCCAGAAAGAAGGACAAAGAUUAAAAUUGCUGGGAUUAUGCCUGAAGCAAGAGUACGCCAUGGCAAACAGACGGAUUUCAUGGAAAUGUGAAAUGGCCAUCUGCCAAAGGUUCCUGUGAGCUCUGAAACAAUACCACGAGGCACCCUGAGACCACAGCCAGGACAUAUUCUAGCGACACAGCUGGUGGGUCCUACAGCUUGUACCUUACUACUCCGGGCACCGCAGGAGAGCCUAAUGUGUGCAGCUGCCUGGAGGGGAGAAGGGCAGGGAGAGAAAAGCCUUGGUCUGAACAACGCUUGACUGCCUAUUACACCUCUAGGUUCUCUGGGAAUUGCAAUGAUACCUUUUACUUAAACUCUGACAGAGCCCCUAUGACCCAAUUCCCUCAUGAUUUGUAAGAUUGAGCUUUAAUAAGCUGAAGGUAUGCAGAGAAAAGGACAGACUUAUUAACUAAGGCAGCUUAAUGAGGAGGCAUGGGGAGACAACUCCAUCCUGCCUUUUUGCCAGGUGAUGCCCCAGCAUCUCAGGAACGUGGUGUGGGUGUGUGGGCAAAGAGGGAGGGAGUCAUCCCGGAGCAAACCAGGAGCAGGGCGCUAUCCGCACCUUGGUAAAGGUGAAGGUCUAGGUCACAAGGGUGGUCACAGCCUCAUGAAAGGGCUCAUCUGAGGUGGGUGGAACCUUGCUGUUAACUUUAUCUUAAUCUUUCAGGUUUAGCUCUUUGCAACUGUUGUUGCAUAGCUGCUUUAAAAUACUUUUUCAAAAUAUUCUUCCUAAAGCUUGCCAAGCAGCAGUGCUGGCUGCGGGCUUGCAUUUCUCCAGCACCUGUGGGACUGUCACUGCUCCGGGUGCGUGGCCCGGGACCGGGCUGCUGUGGGGAGCUGAGCUGGGCAGGCAGCGGCACUGCCUUCCCCGGGCACAGCUGGGGCUGGAGGAGAUGCUCUGAAUCCCAGGCAGAAGUCUGGGGGUCUCGGCUGUUUUCAGCUCUCAGGUGGGACCCCUGAGGGGCUUUGUGGGGUUUAAUCCCUUAAACUCACAGGGCUCAUGCUUGCUGCAGGGAGUUGCCUGCAGUGCUGCGGGCUCAGGCAGGGUGAGGGGGUGGCAAAGGAGAUCAGAGGCAUUACCGGGCAUUCCUGAAAAUAGUCCCUUAUGAAACAGCCUCCCUCCAUGCAUACAAGUCCCUACUCAGAGGGAAGCAGUGGUAGGAAGAUGGGAUUACUCACUCCCGCCCUACAAGCAGGUGAAGAGCUGGCAGUACCCAAGGGCAGAAGUGUUGCUGCUCUGUGCCUGCUGCCAGCCCGUGGUGAGGCAGGCUGCCGAGCCCCCCCUUCUCUGCAGCAGCGUUGCAACAAGUCUUUAAGGCACGUCUGACGUGCCGCUUUAAUGCUCCAGCAGAGUUCCUCAACAUCACGCUUGAUGGGGAGAUGACUGAAUGUAUUACAGCAUAUCAAAGGGUUGACUGCCCGUCCAGGGCAACACUCGCAAAUCUUUCCAACUGACGGAAUUGUUUCAAGACAGCUAUAAUUAGGUGUAAUAACUGCAGUCAUAAUUGAAUCUCCUCAUAAUGGGGAUAUCUGCUGCUUAAUUCGGUAUUAAAAUGAUCUACUUCAAUAUUGAACCAACACUUCAGAGAAAUCCAUGAAAAAAAUACAUUGUAAAACCAUCAGAUUUGUGCAGGUCUCGGGUGAAAACUAUUGAAAACAUGAGAGAAAAGAGCCCAGACUGAAGCCUUGUACUUCAAAAUAACACAAGAUCCUUCCUUUAGGAUGGAGUACCCUGCUGUUGACUCUGCAAUAAACUGCUCAUUAGAAAGACAUCCUGACAGUAAUGGAUAGACACAGAUCUGUUUCUGCUCCUGUACUUUCUGCUCAGGCUGCUCCAAAGGCUGAUGGAUUUGGGAGAAGCUUAGCUCCAAUUUCAUUUUUUUAGUGUGAACCAAAGUCUGCUGGAAAGGUACAAUUUACUCUCCUCCAUCAGCCACAGAAUAGAUGAAAAAUGGAUGAGGAUAUGAUUAAGCAGGUGUGGGAGAGCUCUUCCCUAUGGAAACCCUGGGGACCAAAGUGGGCUGCAAGAGUGAAAAAAGAGGUAACAGAUGACAUUGGUCCCUCUGUACGCAAGCCCUGCAGAAUGGCAUAAGAUGCUAAUGGUCCCCUGGGAUACCUGGCUCCCCUGAGCAAGUCCCAAAAGCCCUGUGAAGUGCGAGUUCCUGGGGUCUGGCCACAGGUCUGUCACCUGUGCAAUGCAGCAUGCUGUUGUGGAGGCGACUUAUUUUAGAAAUCCAGUUUAGGGGCUCUACUGGAGGUACUGGCUCAUAGAAGUCGAGCUGAGUAGGUGGCUGUUGCUGCCAACACAGCUGUGCCUCUGCACUGGAGCUGUGCUGAAGAGCUCUGAGUCACCCAACAGAGAAGUACCACACAGGCUCUAGCCUCUCACCUCUUGUGUACAAGACCAUGAGACAAGCAGCCAUGUGUGCACUUUCUGUUUCAUUGUGGAUUUUUUGAACUAAAACCAAGCAGAACUGGAGGUGCUGACUGUGCAGGGCUCAGGCGGCGAGGGACACACAGGUUGGCUGUGCCAGCAGGCUUCACCUGCAGCUUGGGUCCUCUGAUCCUCUCCUCCCUGAUGCUCCAGGACUUGCUGGUGUGGAUGGUGAGACCACUGGAGUGGUUUCCACUGCGUGCCAUCCAGCCAUGCAAUCUUCUCCUUGAACGCUGCUACUCCUUGCUCUGCUCUCUGCUUUUGCCCCGGAGGUGGCUACAGAGGAGGGCUGGGGUGCCUGUGACGUUCGGCAGAGCUGCGUGGGACAUGCCUGGGAGGAGCUCACUGCACCUCCAGUGAUGUUGCGACCUUCACACUUGUAAGACUUGUGCUUGGUUCCCUGAAAAAUCUUUCAGUUUUGUUUGGGGGUUCCGUGAUAUGCUAGAAGUUUAAAAGCAAAUAGGACCUUUCCUAUUGGCACAUGAAGCCAACGGAGCAGCAAUGUGCCUAAGAGAGUAGUCAUCCCAGGCUCGUCUGUUGCUGGAUAUUUGGGGGCAGUCCUCUGCAAGGCAGAUGUGAAUUUGAACUUUUAUGAUGUAUCCCAGAAAAAAAGCCUGUUUCUCCUCAAUCUGGGAUGACCACCCAACCACUGCAACUGGAUAAAUGUGCUAGGGAGAAUACUUGCUUCUCUGGCUUCCGCAUGCUCUGAAAACACCAGCUGAAUCAAGCCCUGUAGGUGAGAAAACUAGAGGAAGGACCUUAUUUGUGGAUGUGGAUGGGAUUUUGUGGGGGAUAAGCAUUUCUGUGGAUGGAUCCAGCCCAACUGAUCUGAAGUGGCAUGUGCUAAGUGAAAAAAUACAUAUCUGAGGGAGUUCCAGGACAUAAUUUAAUGGAAGAAAGGGAGAAGAAAAAGGCAUUCCGGUGAGUUUCAUUUUCUUUGCAGGGGAAAGCUACCAACACUCUUCCCAGAGCAAUUCCAGGAACUGUAAUUAUGCUUGUGUGUAUCAAAGGAGAAGUGUGUUUACACCUGACCUAGUCUCUGGGUAGAUGAGAUGUUCUGUCUUGGGAAAUUGUCACCUUCAGGCUGGUUGCUCUCACAUAACUAUUGCAGAGCACAAAUUUCCCCCGUGGUGUGGUCGUAGCAAUCUGCCAAUAUUCACCCAAGGCAACAGCGGCCUUUUCUGCUUCCAUGGCCUUCAGGGCAGGCUCUGGCUUGACAAAUAGUGCUAAUAUUAAUGGCACAGAUUCUUCAGAGCUUGGUCUGUGAUUUCCAUUACAUAGCAUUAACUUAAAAAAAAAAAAAAAAAAAGAGAGAGAGAAAAAUACUAGUAUCCCAGCAAAACGCAGUGCUAAUUUAGAUAGAUGGUAAUUACCUGCACUAAAAUUGAGAUUGGAUGGGAGCAUCAGUAGCUCCCGCUUUUCCUGAGCUCCUGUGCAGCCUUUUGCUAGCGCCCCUGGGCACGGCCCAGCUCCGCUGCCAUGCCAUGUGCCUGCGGUGCUGGUGCGAGGACAGCCACGUGCUGCCAUGUGCCACAUGCCCGUGGUGCUGGUGCGAGGACAGCCGCGUGCUGCCUUGGGGCUCUGCUUGCCGCUGGGUCCCCGCGGCACCGCUGUGGUUUGAGCCGGCGUGCGGUGGCCUGGCGAGCAAAGAGGGUAAGGAGUGUAAAAUGGGAGAGUCUGUCAAUGAGAAGUGGACAGUGGAUUUGAAAAUAUUAGGCAAUGAAGCACUUUUUUCCCCCUUUAGCAGCCAGAAGGAAAUGUCCAUGGUUAGGGCUCAGUGGCGUUUCGGUCUCUACUGAAAUAAUUUGGGAAAAGCGCAGCCUGCUCCUACCCGGGGCCCAGAGCCGCCGCCGCAGGGAAGCGCGGUUAAACCCCCCGCCCCCUGCCCCGAGAGGGUACCGGGGCUCUCGCCGCACCCCAGC